UGCAAGUCGAGCGGUAGCGGGGAAAAGCUUGCUCUUUUGGCGGCGAGCGGCGGACGGGUGAGUAAUGUCUGGGAAACUGCCUGAUGGAGGGGGAUAACUACUGGAAACGGUAUCUAAUACCGCAUAACGUCGCAAGACCAAAGAGGGGGACCUUCGGGCCUCUUGCCAUCAUAUGUGCCCAGAUGGGAUUAUCUAGUAGGUGGGGUAACGGCUCACCUAGGCGACGAUCCCUAUCUGGUCUGAGAGGAUGACCACCCACACUGGAACUGACACACGGUCCACACUCCUACGGGAGGCAGCAGUGGGGAAUAUUGCACAAUGGGCGCAAGCCUGAUGCACCCAUGCCGCGUGUAUGAAGAAGGCCUUCGGGUUGUAAAGUACUUUCAGCGGGGAGGAAGGUGAUGAGGUUAAUAACCUUAGCAAUUGACGUUACCCGCAAAAGAAGCACCGGCUAACUCCGUGCCAGCAGCCGCGGUAAUACGGAGGGUGCAAGCGUUAAUCGGAAUUACUGGGCGUAAAGCGCACGCAGGCGGUCUGUCAAGUCGGAUGUGAAAUCCCCGGGCUCAACCUGGGAACUGCAUUCGAAACUGGCAGGCUAGAGUCUUGUAGAGGGGGGUAGAAUUCCA
rnacentral:rRNA from 1 species